GGGGACUUGAAAUUUGUAUUGGGAGAUUGCCAUAACAUUUUUGGUGCUGUUAAGUUGUCCUGCAGCCGUUUGACACUAGUUCUAACUUCCUUUCAGAUGCAGACAGUUCAAAUCGGUGGCAGAGGGCACCAGCCCUGGGUGAUGAUCUUCCCAUGAGCAGGAGGUCCAGACAGAUAGCAGCAGUCAAGGCCCAGGGUGCCAGGUGAGCAGUGGACAGAAGCAGUUGUUCUUGCUCAGGUCUCAAUUUUUGGUGCAACUGUAAGCAUCCAUUCUUGUUUUUCUGCUUUAGGGAAUCCACUUGGAGUAUGCCUAGCAGCUGUCACCAACCGGCUGAUGGCCCGGGUUUCCUGUGCUUGUGAACCCUCUGGAAGCAUUACAGGACUCUGUGAUGAAGCCUUGAAAUUUUGUAUUUCAAGAUGGCAUCGGGGUAGCCUUUGGCAGUGGCCAAGGAGGCAGACCCUACAAUGACGGUGGCAGCCUCUGAGCAUGGCCAAAGUGUGCAGCCCGAGCAACUGGGCAUUCUUAGGAGAAUGCUGAGCAAGGGAACACAGCCCCGUGACCACAGGACCUUCCCAGCAGGCGAGGCAGCCUUCUCAACCCCAGAUGCUGGAGAGAUAAGUCAAGGGCUAAGGCCCACAGAGGGGAAUCAGCUUUGUGGGCGGGGAUGUGCAAGAAGUGCCCCUCUAGGCCACUUAAAGGGAAAGUGUCUGUUUAGAUCACAGUGCUGAGGUGCACAGGGCAGAGCAGUUCCGGUGUGUGUCCCGUCACUUGUCUCUGGUGCGUUCUGUGUUCUUUGGGUCUCUCGGUCCUUGCAGACGUUGUUCUCAUCUAAAGCUCUCUCUCCCUCUCCUGUCCCCUGGUUUGUCACGUCCUGUGUGUUGUCACGGGUGUGUGCCCACAUUUGUCCCACAACUGCUCUGCCCUGGUGCAUAGCUUGUAACAGCACAAGUUCUGGGGACUUGAAAUUUGUAUUGGGAGAUUGCCAUAACAUUUUUGGUGCUGUUAAGUUGUCCUGCAGCCGUUUGACACUAGUUCUAACUUCCUUUCAGAUGCAGACAGUUCAAAUCGGUGGCAGAGGGCACCAGCCCUGGGUGAUGAUCUUCCCAUGAGCAGGUCAGUCAUUGUUUGCAUUUGCAGGGGAAGCGUAAAUGGGUGACUGUGUUACAGCGGUGUUCUUUGCCUUUAUUUUUAGGAGGUCCAGACAGAUAGCAGCAGUCAAGGCCCAGGGUGCCAGGUGAGCAGUGGACAGAAGCAGUUGUUCUUGCUCAGGUCUCAAUUUUUGGUGCAACUGUAAGCAUCCAUUCUUGUUUUUCUGCUUUAGGGAAUCCACUUGGAGUAUGCCUAGCAGCUGUCACCAACCGGCUGAUGGCCCGGGUUUCCUGUGCUUGUGAACCCUCUGGAAGCAUUACAGGACUCUGUGAUGAAGCCUUGAAAUUUUGUAUUUCAAGAUGGCAUCGGGGAAGCCUUUGGCAGUGGCCAAGGAGGUGCGGCAAGUCACUGAGGUAGGGAGCGGGAGCCAAGGUCCGCUUAGGUUUCAGCAAUGCCGAGUCACUUUGUCUCUCCUUAACCCAGGCAGACCCUACAAUGACGGUGGCAGCCUCUGAGCAUGGCCAAAGUGUGCAGCCCGAGCAACUGGGCAUUCUUAGGAGAAUGGU
rnacentral:lncRNA from 1 species